rnacentral:rRNA from 1 species
UUUAUAAUCUGGCACCUUCGGUGUCCGAGUUGUAAUCUCUAGAAGUGUUUUCCGCGUUGGACCGCACACAAGUCUGUUGGAAUACAGCGGCAUAGUGGUGAGACCCCCGUAUAUGGUGCGGACGCCCAACGCUUUGUGAUACACUUUCGAAGAGUCGAGUUGUUUGGGAAUGCAGCUCAAAUUGGGUGGUAAAUUCCAUCUAAAGCUAAAUAUUGGCGAGAGACCGAUAGCGAACAAGUACCGUGAGGGAAAGAUGAAAAGCACUUUGGAAAGAGAGUUAACAGUACGUGAAAUUGUUGGAAGGGAAACGCUUGAAGUCAGACUUGCUUGCCGAGCAAUCGGUUUGCAGGCCAGCAUCAGUUUUCCGGGGUGGAUAAUGGUAGAGAGAAGGUAGCAGUUUCGGCUGUGUUAUAGCUCUCUGCUGGAUACACCUUGGGGGACUGAGGAACGCAGUGUGCCUUACGGCGGAUUUCUCGAGAUCUUCACACUUAGGAUGCUGGUGGAAUGGCUUUAAACGACCCGUCUUG